UGACCAACCUGCCCCUAACUCUGGGAUAACCCCGGGAAACCGGAGCUAAUACCGGAUACGAGACCGAGUGGCAUCACACGGUCUGGAAAGUUUUUCGGUUAGGGAUGGGGUCGCGGCCUAUCAGCUUGUUGGUGGGUAAUGGCUCACCAAGGCGACGACGGGUAGCCGGCCUGAGAGGGUGACCGGCCACACUGGGACUGAGACACGGCCCAGACUCCUACGGGAGCAGCA
rnacentral:rRNA from 1 species